UGACACAAGCCCAAGGUUCUUGGGCCGGCUGGCCUUCUGCCGCUCGCUCGACGGGGGUGGAGGAGAGCCUUACUUGAGGACUUGCAAGGUGCACUGCGGCUUUGCCAGUCCGGCGGCGAGCGCCUCCAGCCCGUCGUCGUACAAAUCGUUGUGGCUGAGAUCCAGCUCCCUCAGGCUGCCGGGCGAGCUUAGAACGGAGGCCAGCGCCUCGCAGCUUUUCUUGCUCAGCUUGCAGCUAUUGAGCCUGAGAAGACAAGAG